AAAGGCUAAUACCAGACCUGAUCUAGUUUAACGAAUGAAGUAACAUCAUUCUGGUGAGUCAAAAGUUUUAGUGUUUGGCACUUUAAUUGGGGCAAUUACGGAGAAGAUUAAUCCUCCGCUAUGAAAUUUUUAAUCUCAAAACUACCGUUUUGAUAUAACGUUACAAUAAAUGAUCCACUAACUCAUUAGUGAACAAAGGAACAAAUUACCGUAGGGAUAACAGCGUUAUUCUCUUGAAGAGUUCAUAUUGAUAAGAGAGUUUGCGACCUCGAUGUUGGAUCGGGACUUCCAGGAAAUGCAGCAGUUUCCAAGGGUUGGUCUGUUCGACCAUUAAAGUCCUACGUGAUCUGAGUUCAGACCGGCGUGAGCCAGGUCAGUUUCUAUCCACGAUUAAUAAGUUUAACUACUUUCUUUAGUACGAAAGGACCAGGAAAGUGAUGUCUAUGCUUAAAAGUAAACAUCAGAAGAUAUACUGUA
rnacentral:rRNA from 1 species